CUCUCUCUCUCUCUCUCUCUCUCUCUCUCUCUCUCUCUCUCUCUCUCUCUCUCUUUGCCUUUUCCUUUAUCUCUGAUUAAUGGAUUCUGACUGAGUAUUACACUUGUUCGGUCUUAAUUGUCUUGGGCGGAGAAGCACAAUCAGAACAAUCCGAGAGCGAUGGAGGAUAGGAUCAAAGCAAAGACGAUGAGCCCUUCUUCUUUGAAGAUGAUAUUUCCAUGGAUGUUUGAUGAGACUCAUUCCUUGAUGCCAAUUCAAAUCUGCUAUGGCUCCUUCUUCAUCACCUCUUCGUACUACAAGUGAAGCAGAUGAGAAGUAUGCGAAUGUGAAAUGGGAAGAGCUUGGAUUUUCUCUGACCAGAUCACAUGUAUGUAGUCAAAUGUAGACAAGGUGAGAGCUUUUCACAAGGAAAGAUCAUUUCUUAUGGGGAUAUUUCAAUCAGCCCUUGUCCACCGAUUCUCAAUUAUGGCCAGAUACGUUUUCUUCUCUUACCACUUGUGGCUAAAUCUCACUGAUUGUAGGAGCUUUGGGUUUUAUUAGAAAACAGGAUUAAGAAACUUGAAGCCUUUAAUCUCUAAAUGAGUGAGAAAAUGAUCUGUAUAGUCAUAUCUUGUGUAUAGUUGUUUGAACUGAGUGUGAUAGCCAGCAAAAGUUUAUAACUUUAGCGUCUAUAUAUACGUUUUGAUUAUUGGUUUGGCUCUUUGUAGGGACUAUUUGAAGGUCUCAAAGCUUACAGGUAGAAAAUCGAAGAGCUUCGUGCUUGUAACAUCUUCAUUGUCAAGAUUGUAUAAAGAGGAAGCAAAAGACAACGACUCCCUUGAAAAGACCUCUUCGGAUACAAUUAGAUUUGAUUGAGCAACUUCUUUAGUGGAGGAAUACUUUUGAUUAAGUUCUAAGUGGGUUACUUUAAUUAGUUUAGUAUUAAUUUUAUAAUUAAUUAAUUUCUGAGUAACUUAGGAGGGGUACUGGAGUGGAGAUGCCUUAUGUAUUUACUCUUUAAGAAAAACAAGGUCCUAUUUACUAUUAUUAAAACUAUGUGAGAUGUGACUUCAGAUAACAUAUA